AGAGAGAGACAGACAUGUGGAGAGAGAGAGAGAGAGAGAGACAGGUGGAGAGAGAGAGAGAGAGAGAGGUGGAGAGAGAGAGAGAGAGACAGGUGGAGAGAGAGAGACAGGUGGAGAGAGAGAGAGACAGACAGGUGGAGAGAGAGACAGACAGGUGGAGAGAGAGACAGACAUGUGGAGAGACAGACACAGGUGGAGAGAGAGAGAGACAGGUGGAGAGAGACAGACAGGUGGAGAGAGAGAGACAGGUGGAGAGAGACAGACAGGUGGAGAGAGAGACA